UGUAAGCGUAUACCAAAGUUGUUGCAGUUAAAACGCUCGUAGUCGGAAUUUGGCAGUUCCGGAUGUGUGCACGUCGUGUGCGCACUUCGCGGGGAUUGCUUUUGUGGUCUUGCGUAGGAUGAGGCACUUUUAUUAGUGAACGUCCUCACGCAACCACUUUUUACUGUGAGAAAAUCAGAGUGCUCAAAGCAGGCAUUUGCCGUGAAUUUAUUAGCAUGGAAUAAUAGAAUAGGACUUGGUUCUAUUUUGUUGGUUUGUUGGGACUGAGUAAUGAUUAAGAGGGACAGUUGGGGGCAUUUGUAUUUCGGUGCUAGAGGUGAAAUUCUUAGAUUACCGAAAGACAAACUGCUGCGAAAGCGUCUGCCAAGGAUGUUUUCAUUGA
rnacentral:rRNA from 1 species